rnacentral:rRNA from 1 species
UACAGAGGUCUCAAGCGUUGUUCGGAUUCAUUGGGCGUAAAGGGUGCGUAGGUGGCGCCGUAAGUCAGGUGUGAAAUUUCGGAGCUUAACUCCGAAACUGCAUUUGAUACUGCGGUGCUUGAGGACUGGAGAGGAGACUGGAAUUCCUGGUGUAGCGGUGAAAUGCGCAGAUAUCAGGAGGAACACCGAUGGCGAAGGCAGGGUCUCUGGGCCAUUACUGACACUGAGAAGCGAAAGCAUGGGGAGCGAACAGG